ACAGCAGCCUUGACGCUUCUGAUGACCACUGACCACCAACACUUGAUCGAAUAGUGGUUCGAAUCAGCCACGACCACAAAUUUCGAAGUGAUAAAUUGUCAGAGCCCGAGGUUGAAGCCACGACGUCUGGAGAGCCUGAGGUUGUACUCGACGAUGGAGGUGGCUGACCAAACCCGUCGUCACCAAAGAGCUCCGCUGCAUCUCCAAGAGCUCCAUUUUUAGGCAUGUCUUUUUCUGUUUAAAUCUUUUAAAAGGUGAGUUUUCUGUUUUUUACGACUGUUUAGAAAAGUGGAAUGUGAUUUUCUAUUUUCCUUACACAAAACGGCGCGUUGGUCAGCUCAUGAAAAUUUAAAGAAACUGCGUAAAACGACGUGUUUUGGUCUUCUUCUUCCUCACGCAUCAGCUGGUCAGAGCUCCCUUCAGCCAUUCUUGUACCCAAAGCUCUUCCAACCCUUAAUACUCCAUAGUCCAUACCCCUCUAGAACCAAAAACAAAAACUUAAGUCCGCCCAUGUUUAUUGGUUUCAUUGCGCCCCAAAAGUUAAAGCUUUGCUGCAAAGAUUUGAUUUUUGAUGAUGGAGGGAAGGAGAUGGUUGCUGUUACUGGCACUAGUGGCUUGCCUGUUUGCUUCUUCUUCUGGGCGAGGUAAGAUUCCGAUUUAUUCGCUUAAAGUUUCUUGCUUUUUUCCUAUGUAUUCCCAAAUUAAGAGUAGUUGACAUGAGUCAGGCAAAUUAGGGGCACUGUAGAUUGAACUUGAAAUUGGUUCAAGGGUCACCAGUGUAAUACUGUAAUUGAUUGAUUAUUUGGGUUUACAUAACUUGAAUUGGUUCAAGGAUGCUGGUUAUUUUGGUGUGAUAGAUACUUGAAAGAUUGAAAAGGAUUCACUUAGGAGGAGGGAGGUGUGAGACUAUGGUAUGAAUCAAUGGGUUUCGUGAGGGUAAUAGUUCAGCAAAGAGUGAGCAGUGCUGCGCAAGUGAAAAUUCGGAGAAUGUGGACUCUCCUAUUCAGUAGUUUCCAGUAUGUGCUCUUAAAGUAGUGGAAACUUAAAGGAGAUGGAUGCUUUUAGAGGUAGGUCUCAAACAACAAAAGGUUUUUGGUUGGCAAAAUGUAUGUGCUGGUAUUGAGCCUUGUACUCUUGCUAAUGGAUUUGGAGGCUACGGAUGGGAGGAGAACGAGGAGAGGAUGAUGCAGCAUUUGAGAAGCAGAGUGAGUUCCCUCUUUGCCAUUUCUGUUUCAGAUCUAGCGCUCAUUAACAUGUGGUGCCAUGAUAUUUGCCGUGAGCAAGCCGCAAAUAAGCCUGCCUCUCCUAAAGGCUGUGUUCCAAGGUGAUGACGUGAUUGUCUAGUCCAUGUAAAACGACUCUGACGUUUCGUCAUCCGUGAUAAGACAAGGACGCCCUUGGAAAAUUUAGAACCGAUUCUUAGAGAAGACAUUCAGAGGAUAUACUCUAGUAAGCGAAUUUUUUUAACGUCGAGGUUGUUGCUCUUUCAAGUUAUAAAGAAAACAAGACCAAUUUAAAGAGCAGGUUGCUAGCUUGAGGUAGAAAUUCUUCCAUUCCAUUUCCCCCAGUGGGGUUGCUGGAGACAGAUGAGGGGUUGAUCCAGCGUCAGGGUUUUCUUUCAGUGCACAGCAGAUAUCAAGAGUCAUCAAAGAAAACAGAGAUCUUGAUCUUCCGGCCCACAAGGUCAUGGUGGCAACUGUAUGUUGGGAAAAGAUUGCAAUGACAAGCAUGCUGCUGUUGUAGGAAAAGAGGAGUGGAAUCAGUUGGAGCAGGAUGCUCAAUUGGGCCCUGUUCCUGGCUUUAGGAAGAAGCUCAGCUUAAUCAUUGAAACAUCUCUGUCAGAGUAUGAUCAAUAAGCUACGUAUUUCGAUGAAGAUGUCAGAUCUGGGAAGCGCAAGCAGCUUGCAAAAAUUGCUUCAACUUGUCCAACCUGCAUUCCAAGCUUUUCUGGGACAUUUAUGAUCUGGUACCCUGGAUAAGUUCGAGGAAGCACUUGAUAAGGCCUUGGAUGCCAGGGAUGCUUUUUCUGUGGCUGCGCGUAAUUGUAGUGAAUCUUUCAUGGCACAAUUUGAUGAAGGAUGUGCAGAUGCUAGUAGACUGGGACACAUCUAAAGUAAGAGAUAAACUUAAACGUGAUAUAGAAGCUCACAUUGCUUCAGUUUCUGCUGCCAGCUAUCUGUAAUUACGUCUAUUUAUGAGGCAAAAUUGAAGAAGGCCUUAUCUGGACUAGUGGAAGCUCUUCUUGAUGGAGCUAAUAGUGACACAUGGCCUGCAAUAAGGAAACUUUUCAAGCGCGAGACAGGAAUCAGCUGUCUCCGGGUUCUCUAGUGCUUUUUUUUUUAGAGGCGUAUGCAAGAGGCAUGGUGGAACCAAAUACAACGGAAGAGGCUGGAAGGGUUUUGAUCGGUAUGAAGGACAAGUUUUGCAACACUAUGUAGCCAUGACUCUGAUUUGAUGCCACUUGUUUGGACUGGGAAGGAGGACAUCAGAGCAAUUACCAAGAUUGCUCGUUCUGCAUCCUUGAAUUCGCUUUCUGUUAUGGCUGCAAUUUGGUUGGAUGAUCAUGACACUGAUAAUAUUGAGAAAACUUUAUCUCUUGCCUUGGUGAAUGCCAAAAAUACUGCUGCCAAAGAUAGGAGUAUCACAACGGUUGACCCAUUGGCAUCUAGUACUUGGCAAGAGGUUUCAUCAUCAAAGACAUUGAUUAGACCUGUACAGUGCAAAUCGUUGUGGAGGCAAAUUCAGGGCAGAGACCAAGUCAGUGUUUUUCAGGCCAUUGCUUCCCAGGAGGCCAACACACGUAAUAACACCCAGCUACCACCUGCUUGGGCUAUUCUUGCCUUGGUUGUCCUCAGAUUAAAUGAAUUUCAUGACACUCUUAAGAUAUCCUUUGUAUCUGCUGGUCAUCUUUGUUGGCUUUUUACACCUUAAAGCACUAUGGGUGCAGCUAGACCUUGCGGCUAAAUUCCACAUUGGUGCCCCUUUGGGAACUUCUCUUGUUGUCUACCAAGUGGGUGCCAAUUAUCAUGAACUUGAUGAAUAGAUUAGCAGAUGAAGGGGGAGCAGCUUAUGCGGCUAACAAUCGUCAAAGAAACCCUGCAACCAGCAUCAAAAAGCUUAAGUAAAUGCUAGCAGUUCCAUGUCAUCUACUGCCUCAUCGGAAGUGAUAGAGUCUGAAAACUUUAGUCCUACAAAUAGUUGGACUCUGGUGAUUAUAUAUAUCAUUGGUUUUAAGAUGUGGUAUUCUGAGCAUUUAAGUAAGGACGCUACCCACAUAUUAUCCACAUACAUUAGAUCUGCGAUUGUGUUUGCAUACUGUUUACAAGGAUGUAACGGUAAUAGUUUUGAAGGCAUCAAUUUUUAAGUUAUUGUCGAAUAGAGGGGAAGCUCUUUGUUGUGGCGAACCUCCAUUAAAUAGUAUUACAGUCUUAGAUGUUUUUGCUCUGGUUUUACCCAAGGAGCUUUAGGUUUGUGAUAUUGAUGUCUGGUUUUUAUAUUGAUU